rnacentral:rRNA from 1 species
GACGAACGCUGGCGGCGUGCUUAACACAUGCAAGUCGAACGGAAAGGCCCUGCUUUUGUGGGGUGCUCGAGUGGCGAACGGGUGAGUAACACGUGAGUAACCUGCCCUUGACUUUGGGUUAACUUCAGGAAACUGGGGCUAAUACCGGAUAGGAGCUCCUGCUGCAUGGUGGGGGUUGGAAAGUUUCGGCGGUUGGGGAUGGACUCGCGGCUUAUCAGCUUGUUGGUGGGGUAGUGGCUUACCAAGGCUUUGACGGGUAGCCGGCAUGAGAGGGUGACCGGCCACAUUGGGACUGAGAUACGGCCCAGACUCCUACGGGAGGCAGCAGUGGGGAAUAUUGCACAAUGGGCGGAAGCCUGAUGCAGCAACGCCGCGUGCGGGAUGACGGCCUUCGGGUUGUAAACCGCUUUCGCCUGUGACGAAGCGUGAGUGACGGUAAUGGGUAAAGAAGCACCGGCUAACUACGUG